GACGAACGCUGGCGGCGUGCCUAAUACAUGCAAGUUGAGCGAUGAAGAUUGGUGCUUGCACCAAUUUGAAGAGCAGCGAACGGGUGAGUAACGCGUGGGGAAUCUGCCUUUGAGCGGGGGACAACAUUUGGAAACGAAUGCUAAUACCGCAUAACAACUUUAAACAUAAGUUUUAAGUUUGAAAGAUGCAAUUGCAUCACUCAAAGAUGAUCCCGCGUUGUAUUAGCUAGUUGGUGAGGUAAAGGCUCACCAAGGCGAUGAUACAUAGCCGACCUGAGAGGGUGAUCGGCCACAUUGGGACUGAGACACGGCCCAAACUCCUACGGGAGGCAGCAGUAGGGAAUCUUCGGCAACGGACGAAAGUCUGACCGAGCAACGCCGCGUGAGUGAAGAAGGUUGUCGGAUCGUAAAACUCUGUUGGUAGAGAAGAACGUUGGUGAGAGUGGAAAGCUCAUCAAGUGACGGUAACUACACAGAAAGGGACGGCUAACUACGUG
rnacentral:rRNA from 1 species